rnacentral:lncRNA from 1 species
GCUCGUACCCCGAGGAGCACUUCACGGAGGAGGCCCCGCGGCGCCUGCUGGGCGCCUUCCAGCGCCGCCUGGCCCGAAUCUCCCGGCGCGUCCAGCGCCGCAACGCCGCGCUGCCCCUGCCAUACCCCUACCUCGACCCCGCCGCCAUCGAGAACAGCAUCGCCAUCUGAGGGACGUCCCCAAUGUCCCCAAUGUCCCCUGGUGUCCCCAGGUGUCCCCAAGACCCCCAGGUGUCCCCAAGACCCUCACCCGUCUCCCCAUCCCUUGGUGUCCCCAAAUCCCCAGGCGUUCCCAAAUCCCCAGCUGUCUCCAACCCCACAUCUCCCAAACGCCUCUGCAUGUCCCCAAUGUCCCCAAUGUCCCCGGGUGUCCCCUGGUGUCCCCAAUGUCCCCUGGUGUCCCCAGGUGUCCCCAAGACCCCCAGGUGUCCCCAAGACCCUCAGGAGUCUCCCCAUCCCUUGGUGUCCCCAAAUCCCCAGGCGUUCCCAAAUCCCCAGCUGUCUCCAACCCCACAUUUCCCAAACGCCUCCGCAUGUCCCCAAAAUCCCCUGGUGUCCCCAAUGUCCCCUGGUGUCCCUAAGACCCUCAGGUGUCCCCAAAUCCCCCAGUGUCCCCAAUGUCCCCAGGCGUUCCC